ensembl:lncRNA
ACCAAACCACAUAGCUCAGCCAGUAGACUACCAAACCACAUAGCUCAGCCAGUAGACUACCAAACCACAUAGCUCAGCCAGUAGACUACCAAACCACCUAGCUCAGCCAGUAGACUACCAAACCACAUUACAAUUGCAGCAAAUGCAUUUCCAUCCAUAUCCUGAAGCUAAUUGACAAAAGUUGUGUUUCCCACAGGGAGGUCUGUACUUACUGUACUGGAGAGAGUCCACCACAGAAUGGCCUGUAUAUGUGAUGAGCUCUAUUGGGAAUGAUUGGCCUCCUGUUUCUGUGGAUGACACAAGGGCAGGUGUAACACUUGACCAACAUGACAUUGAUGUGACAUUCAGUUCUGGUUGAUGUAGGACAGAUUCAGUACUGGUUGCUAUAGGACAGGUUAGGUACUGGAAGCUGUAGGACAGGUUCAGUACUGGUUGCUAGAGGACAGGUUAGGUACUGGAAGCUGUAGGACAGGUUCAGUACUGGUUGCUAGAGGACAGGUUAGGUACUGGAAGCUGUAGGACAGGUUCAGUGCUGGUUGCUAGAGGACAGGUAAAAUACUGUUUGUGUUGCUUGUUGUUUGUCUGUUAACAUGACUCUGAGCAUACAGAAGGAUCAGUGGAAAGUGUAUACCAUGGGACAGAUACACGGUAUUGCAUUGAAAGGAUCCAGGUAUGUCCUUACAGCAUGUGUUUUGGUCGAUGGCUUUGAUUCUGUUGUAUAAUGUUCACUGAACUGUUUUCUGUUCUUAGAUGGAAAACCACUCCAUAGAACCUCAUACCCAGAAAAUCAAUAUCCUCAUACUACAUUCAUACUGUUGCUAAGUCAUAUUCCAGAAAUAUUUAAUUAAAGGAUGUUUUUUUUAUUUUUUAUUGUUUUGUAAAAUAAACUUUAUAUAAAUGUGGAAUUCUUUCCAAUUGCAUACUGGUUUUGAUUGAGGUAACACAUUCAGA